CACGUAGGGACCGAGCGUUGUCCGGAGUUACUGGGCGUAAAGGGCGCGCAGGCGGUUGGUCGCGUCGGGCGUGAAAGCCCCCCGCUUAACGGGGGAGGGUCGUCCGAAACGGGCCAACUGGAGGCAGGGAGAGGUCGGUGGAAUUCCCGGUGUAGUGGUGAAAUGCGUAGAUAUCGGGAGGAACACCAGUGGCGAAGGCGGCCGACUGGACCUGACCUGACGCUGAGGCGCGAAGGCGUGGGGAGCGAACGGG
rnacentral:rRNA from 2 species